rnacentral:lncRNA from 1 species
GAAUGUGGAGAGAAGCAGCAAAGCGUGAUGAAAGCAGACAGAGCCACACUGUUACUGAGAAGAGCAAACUGUUAAUACAACAGAAUUCAGGAUAGAAGAGAGACCUGACAUGGAGAUAGAGGAAGCACACCCUGAGGAAACUGCAGAAAGCCAAGAGAAGGUGGAAGAAAGAAGUCUUACUUUUGAGCAUGAGAAAGAGUGUGGGCAGGAGGCAGUCACCAGUUGACAGAGAAGGGCCAUGGUGACAUUGCACUGGUACAGAAAACAAUAGUGCUCUGGAGGUGAAGUCAAUGCAGAUCCCAUAGCAAAAGACUCAUUGCACUGCUGUCUGGAAGAGGCUUCUUUUGGUAUAAUCAGAAAAACCACACUUCCUGCUUUAUUG